AUAUGUACUAUUCAAAACACGAGCAGGAGUGCUUUAUCAGAUAUAAAAAACGAGAGAGCAGCUCGAGUGUUUUAUAUCUGAUAAAGCAAGGACUGCGAGUGUUUUGAUGCCUUAAAAAACGACCCAUCUGAAGAGUUCACUGGCGAAGUAAUUUUAAAAGUCUAAGCCGAGAAAAUCAAAGCUAUAAACUAAAGUUUAUGUAAAUGAACAUGAUUUUUUAUCACAUAUAAAACCACCGACACAGCAGUGAUUUCCUUUGUCUUUUGAGUUUUUAAAUAUAGCUAUAUAUAUUUAAAAAUGUUCGAAUCCUUCACUGGUUCAAAAACUAGAAUUGGAUAGAUCAUCAUUUCCAAUUCAGUGAGCCAAUUUUCAAGCCAGAAUUUUUAUAAUGGGAAGAAAAUCCUAAAUGGAUCAAUGAUACUAUGUACGUUUAAAUUAGAUGCAUUUUACUGCAUGCAACUUGUAUAGGAAGAAGACUUUUGGUUGACCUACACUAAGUUGUCAUGUAGUACAUUGUAGUUACGUCGUUCUAGUCAUCUAUUUACUUAUUUCGUGUCCUAUUUACUGUUCUUGUUAGCUUGUUUGUCACUUUAGUUUUAUCACUUUGCCUUAAUAUCACUGAUUUUUGAAUUAAUAUGCAACGGCAAUAAGUAGCGUAAGUAGUAAUAGAUGUACCGUUCGACCCGGAUUUUGGGGGCGCCGCAGAGUGCCGCAGCAUCAUUAGCAUAAAACAUGGUGCCGCAUCAUCAUUAGUAUAAAACGGGGCGCCGCUGAGGUAAUUAAAUAUUCAGUAAAUGAGGGUGAGAUAAUUGAUAUUCAUGAUGACGUGCGCACAUGCUGAGUUUGGGCGAAACAGUCAUUAAACUGAGCCUACCAUUCUCGUCACAAAGGUUGUUUCGACUAUUAUUUUUGGGGCGGUGAGGGGCCGGUAGUGGAGGACUAAUUAUGAUUGUAUGCUGAGCUCAACAAUUUUUCGCGUCCCCAUGCCAUCUAAUGACAAUAGCUAAGCGUCGGUACAAAUUCCGCGAGCGUUUUAUUUAAGUGUACGUUAAUUGUGGGUUUUGUGAGAUAUAUCAAAAUUUUGUCUUGUUAACAUCGAAAAUGUGUGCUGCCAAAGUCAUUAAUAUUUGUUAAAGGAUUAUAGCGGAUAAAUGUAUUACGCGAGCGUAAACCUAAAAAUAUGGCGGCAUACUAAAGUAUAGUAUGAUAUCCUAUAGAUAUUGAAUGACAUAGGUGUAGAGUAUGGGGUGGGGUGGGGGGCGGGGUUGAGGGGGUUCGAGCCCCUCGAGAAAUCUUACUGGGGGUGGGGGCUCAGUCCUUCUAGAAAUUUUGCAGAACUUUCUAUAGUCUAAUGCCGUAACCUCUAACUAUACAUAAUACAGUAUUACGGUCUGUACUAACCCUGUACCGCACGAAUUAUGCAGAUCUGUUAGGUUAAUACUGGUCACAAUGGUCAGGUCUCCAAUUAAUUUUCUUUUAAAAUAACGGUUUUUUCACAAUUUGUCACCAUAGGCGUACGGGGCUGGGCAGGGGGGCACGGAGGGCAGCCCCCCCAGGUCGGGCAAAAAUUUUAAAAAGAAGACAUGUGCAAUAUAGUAGUUGAAAUUACAAAAGAAUUAUGUAAAAGUAACGAGUAAUUUUAACAGAUUAGGAAAUAUUUUUCGUCUCCCCCUCCGACAACAAUUUUGGUAAGUCAGCCCCCUCAGACAAAAACAAAACUCUACACCUAUGUUGCAUGAUAUCCAAAGAUAUUGAUAUCCUAAGAUACUGCAUGAUAUCCUAAGGCAUAUCAUGAUAUCCUAAGUAUAGCAUGAUAUCUAAGAUAUUGAAUGAUACCCUAGGAUGUUCUAUGAUGUCAUAAGAUAGUGGAUGAUAUCCUAGAUCAUAGUCUUAAUAGUCAGCCUUGCUCGGAGCCUAAUCUAAAUAGCUCGGAGCCUAGCUCGAACUAUCGAACUAGACUCCAAGGUAUUAGCUGGGCUUUGUGUAAUAUAAACUGUGUCCUUCAGUUAAAAGAAUUAAUCUCAUUCAAUCAUUCAACUUUGGAAUUCAUUGAUUUGGAAUUCAUUGAUUUAUUCUAGGAUUCUAUUAAUAAUUCCAUCUAGGAUUCAAUGAUACAAUCUUAAGAUUCAAUGAUUCAAACCUAGGAUUCAGUGAUUCAGUCUGGGGAUUCAAUGAUUCAAUCUUAGGAACCAAUCAUUUAAUCUGGGGAUUCAAUCUUAAUAUUCAAUGAUUGCAUCCUAUUGAAUCAAUGAAUCC